rnacentral:rRNA from 1 species
UACAGAGGUCCCAAGCGUUGUUCGGAUUCACUGGGCGUAAAGGGUGCGUAGGUGGCGGGGUAAGUUUGAUGUGAAAUCUCCGAGCUCAACUCGGAAACUGCAUUGAAUACUAUCCUGCUUGAGGAUUGGAGGGGAGACUGGAAUUCUCGGUGUAGCGGUGAAAUGCGUAGAUAUCGGGAGGAACACCAGUGGCGAAGGCGACUUCCUGGCCUGUUCUUGACGCUGAGGCGCGAAAGCUAGGGGAGCAAACGGG